rnacentral:rRNA from 1 species
UACGUAGGGGGCAAGCGUUGUCCGGAAUCAUUGGGCGUAAAGAGCGUGUAGGCGGCCAGAAAAGUCCGCUGUGAAAACUCGAGGCUCAACUUCGAGCUGUCGGUGGAAACUUUCUGGCUAGAGUCCGGAAGAGGAGAAUGGAAUUCCUGGUGUAGCGGUGAAAUGCGCAGAUAUCAGGAGGAACACCGGUGGCGAAGGCGGUUCUCUGGGCCUGUACUGACGCUGAGGAGCGAAAGCGUGGGGAGCAAACAGG